GAACUCUGGUAUUGAUUGGUGCUUGCAUCAUGAUUUACAUUUGAGUGAGUGGCGAACUGGUGAGUAACACGUGGGAAACCUGCCCAGAAGCGGGGGAUAACACCUGGAAACAGAUGCUAAUACCGCAUAACAACUUGGACCGCAUGGUCCGAGUUUGAAAGAUGGCUUCRGCUAUCACUUUUGGAUGGUCCCGCGGCGUAUUAGCUAGAUGGUGGGGUAACGGCUCACCAUGGCAAUGAUACGUAGCCGACCUGAGAGGGUAAUCGGCCACAUUGGGACUGAGACACGGCCCAAACUCCUACGGGAGGCAGCAGUAGGGAAUCUUCCACAAUGGACGAAAGUCUGAUGGAGCAACGCCGCGUGAGUGAAGAAGGGUUUCGGCUCGUAAAACUCUGUUGUUAAAGAAGAAUAUAUCUGAGAGUAACUGUUCAGGUAUUGACGGUAUUUAACCAGAAAGCCACGGCUAACUACGUGCCAGCAGCCGCGGUAAUACGUAGGUGGCAAGCGUUGUCCGGAUUUAUUGGGCGUAAAGCGAGCGCAGGCGGUUUUUUAAGUCUGAUGUGAAAGCCUUCGGCUCAACCGAAGAAGUGCAUCGGAAACUGGGAAACUUGAGUGCAGAAGAGGACAGUGGAACUCCAUGUGUAGCGGUGAAAUGCGUAGAUAUAUGGAAGAACACCAGUGGCGAAGGCGGCUGUCUGGUCUGUAACUGACGCUGAGGCUCGAAAGUAUGGGUAGCAAACAGGAUUAGAUACCCUGGUAGUCCAUACCGUAAACGAUGAAUGCUAAGUG
rnacentral:rRNA from 2 species